rnacentral:tRNA from 1 species
AUUUAAAUAGCUUAUAAAGAGUAUAAUAUUGAAGAUAUUAGGGAGAUAAAUUUAUCUUUAAAUA